rnacentral:rRNA from 1 species
AGAGUUUGAUCCUGGCUCAGAUUGAACGCUGGCGGCAGGCUUAACACAUGCAAGUCGAGCGGGGGAAGGUAGCUUGCUACUGGACCUAGCGGCGGACGGGUGAGUAAUGCUUAGGAAUCUGCCUAUUAGUGGGGGACAACAUCUCGAAAGGGAUGCUAAUACCGCAUACGUCCUACGGGAGAAAGCAGGGGAUCUUCGGACCUUGCGCUAAUAGAUGAGCCUAAGUCGGAUUAGCUAGUUGGUGGGGUAAAGGCCUACCAAGGCGACGAUCUGUAGCGGGUCUGAGAGGAUGAUCCGCCACACUGGGACUGAGACACGGCCCAGACUCCUACGGGAGGCAGCAGUGGGGAAUAUUGGACAAUGGGGGGAACCCUGAUCCAGCCAUGCCGCGUGUGUGAAGAAGGCCUUAUGGUUGUAAAGCACUUUAAGCGAGGAGGAGGCUACUUGUGCCAGCAGCCGCGGUAAUACAGAGGGUGCGAGCGUUAAUCGGAUUUACUGGGCGUAAAGCGUGCGUAGGCGGCUUAUUAAGUCGGAUGUGAAAUCCCCGAGCUUAACUUGGGAAUUGCAUUCGAUACUGGUGAGCUAGAGUAUGGGAGAGGAUGGUAGAAUUCCAGGUGUAGCGGUGAAAUGCGUAGAGAUCUGGAGGAAUACCGAUGGCGAAGGCAGCCAUCUGGCCUAAUACUGACGCUGAGGUACGAAAGCAUGGGGAGCAAACAGGAUUAGAUACCCUGGUAGUCCAUGCCGUAAACGAUGUCUACUAGCCGUUGGGGCCC